GACGAACGCUGGCGGCGUGCUUAACACAUGCAAGUCGAACGGAAAGGCCCUGCUUUUGUGGGGUGCUCGAGUGGCGAACGGGUGAGUAACACGUGAGUAACCUGCCCUUGACUUUGGGAUAACUUCAGGAAACUGGGGCUAAUACCGGAUAGGAGCUCCUGCUGCAUGGUGGGGGUUGGAAAGUUUCGGCGGUUGGGGAUGGACUCGCGGCUUAUCCGCUUGUUGGUGGGGUAGUGGCUUACCAAGGCUUUGACGGGUAGCCGGCCUGAGAGGGUGACCGGCCACAAUGGGACUGCGAUACGGCCCAGAAUCCUACGGGAGGCAGCAGUGGAGAAUAUUGCAGAAUGGGCGGAAGCCUGAUGCAGCAACGCCGCGUGCGGGAUGACGGCCUUCGGGUUGUAAACCGCUUUCGCCUGUGACGAAGCGUGAGUGACGGUAAUGGGUAAAGAAGCACCGGCUAACUACGUG
rnacentral:rRNA from 1 species